rnacentral:ncRNA from 1 species
CGGUUGGUGCCGUAAUGAGAGGUUUACGGAGAAUAGGGAAACAGGUGAGAGGCCUGUACGAUCUCGUCACUGUAUGCAGAUAGCAUUGCCAGAAAGUCACUGAAUGAAUGUUUGGGAAGGCGGCGGAUGCGGUUAAAGCUGUGAGUCAGGAGACCUGCCAGCCGU